CAUAUUUGGGAUGAGGGGAAGCCAAAAGUCAUUGAGUAUUGCUUUGAGAUUGUUUGGGUGUCGGCAACGCCAAAGACGGCAGAGCAGCCAUCGAUUGAACAAAGAUUAGGGACGGUGGGCUUAUGUUCGAGCCCAAAGAGUUACAGAAAUGGGAAGAGGAGGUCAAGGGGUGUAUGGGUGUAAAUCUGGGAGGGUUUGGAAGUAACACCGCCGUGGACGGCGGAGACGGCGACCAUACAAUUGCAUAUUCGAGGAGCCUGGUAGAGAUUUGAGAGAAGACAUGCUGGGAUUUGGAAAGAAGGGACGACGAGGAAGAUGUGGUGUAAAUUUGGGAUCGUUUGGAGCAUCGCCAUUGCUGGCGGCGGCUGGCGGAAGGAGGGCGGCAAACGGUGGUGAUACAUCGGUGUGAUUACGGAUGUAUGGG
rnacentral:lncRNA from 1 species